AGGGUGCGUUUGGUUCGCAUUAUGAAAGAUUAUUAGGAAUAAAAAGAUAUCCGAGAAUUUUAUUCCUAUUCAUUCUAUUACUAAGAAUGUGGAAUUCCUGUAUUUGGUUCGCACGGUAAUAUUAAUUAACCAUGUUAUUUAAUAUUACAAAAAAUAUACAAUUAAUUAAUUAAUUUAUUUAUUUAAUUUUAGAUAAUGUUAUCAAAAGUUUCAACAUCUUUUUAGAAAAAAUGGAAAGAGAGUAUAAGUUAGAGAGAAAGAGCAUAAUUAAAAAAAUAGAAAGAAAAAUAUAGUCGAAAUUAGAGGGAGUGAGAGAGUUGAAAUUUUAGAAAGAGAGAGAGAGAGAAAGCUUAGUUUAGAGAGAGAAAAAAAAGUUUAGAGAGAGAUAUAAGGUUAGAGUGUAAAGAAAAAUAAUAUCAAUUAGCGGGUGGGUAAGAAGAAAAAAAUAGAUUAGACAUAUUAUGAUUACCCCAAUCUAUUAAUAUAAGGAUACCCACCUUCCCUCAAGAGAAUGAGAUUAGUACUUUGGGGUGAAUCUUAUUCCCAAGUAAAUCCAGUAUUACCAAUUAGAUUACUUAGUGCGUUUACCUAAAUUCCGUCAUAUUUUUUUAUUUUUAUUGGAUUAGUAGGAAUCUUUAAAAGAUAGCGCGAACCAAACGCACCCUUAAUGUUAUGAAGUUGCCAAAGACGACCGUCAUCGC
rnacentral:lncRNA from 1 species